rnacentral:rRNA from 1 species
UACAGAGGUCUCAAGCGUUGUUCGGAUUCAUUGGGCGUAAAGGGUGCGUAGGCGGCGCGGUAAGUCGGGUGUGAAAUCUCGGGGCUUAACUCCGAAACUGCAUUCGAUACUGCCGUGCUUGAGGACUGGAGAGGAGACUGGAAUUUACGGUGUAGCGGUGAAAUGCGUAGAUAUCGGAAGGAACAUCAGUGGCGAAGGCGACUUUCUGGACAAAUACUGACACUGAGGCACGAAAGCAUGGGGAGCAAACAGG